rnacentral:ncRNA from 2 species
CACCAAUGCUAGGGGUCCUGCGCCGUCAUCAACGGCGUGGGUGAGAAAUACCCUCCGAACCUGAUCUGGAUAAUGCCAGCGAAGGGAAGCUACAGAGUCAACGC